rnacentral:rRNA from 1 species
CAAUAGCGUAUAUUAAAGUUGUUGCAGUUAAAAAGCUCGUAGUUGGAUUUCUGGUGGGAGCGAUCGGUCUGGCGCUUAGCGCGAGUACUUGCAUCGUCUCCGGCCAUCCUUGGGGAGAGUCUGUCUGGCAUUAAGUUGUCGGGCAGAGGAUCCUCAUCGUUUACUGUGAAAAAAUUAGAGUGUUCAAAGCAGGCUUAUGCCGUUGAAUAUAUUAGCAUGGAAUAAUAAGAUAGGACCUUGGUACUAUUUUGUUGGUUUGCGCACCAAAGUAAUGAUUAAUAGGGACAGUUGGGGGUAUUCGUAUUCCGUUGUCAGAGGUGAAAUUCUUGGAUUUACGGAAGACGAACUACUGCGAAAGCAUUUACCAAGGAUGUUUUCAUUAA